rnacentral:rRNA from 1 species
CCUACGGGAGGCAGCAGUGAGGAAUAUUGGUCAAUGGGCUUACGCCUGAACCAGCCAAGUCGCGUGAGGGAAGACUGCCCUAUGGGUUGUAAACCUCUUUUGUCAGGGAGCAACGCCGGCUACGUGUAGCCGGACUGAGAGUACCUGAAGAAAAAGAAUCGGCUAACUCCGUGCCAGCAGCCGCGGUAAUACGGAGGAUGCGAGCGUUAUCCGGAUUUAUUGGGUUUAAAGGGUGCGUAGGCGGAAUGCCAAGUCAGCGGGAAAAUCGCGGGGCUCAACCUCGCUCCGCCGUUGAAACUGGCGUUCUUGAGUGGGCGAGAGGUAUGCGGAAUGCGUGGUGUAGCGGUGAAAUGCUUAGAUAUCACGCAGAACUCCGAUUGCGAAGGCAGCAUACCGGCGCCCAACUGACGCUGAAGCACGAAAGCGUGGGUAUCGAACAGGAUUAGAUACCCGAGUAGUC